rnacentral:rRNA from 1 species
UACGGAGGGUACAAGCGUUAAUCGGAAUUACUGGGCGUAAAGCGCGCGUAGGUGGCUUGAUAAGCCGGUUGUGAAAGCCCCGGGCUCAACCUGGGAAUGGCAUCCGGAACUGUCAAGCUAGAGUGCAGGAGAGGAAGGUAGAAUUCCCGGUGUAGCGGUGAAAUGCGUAGAGAUCGGGAGGAAUACCAGUGGCGAAGGCGGCCUUCUGGACUGACACUGACACUGAGGUGCGAAAGCGUGGGUAGCAAACAGG